GUUAUAUGGUCAAGUGAAGAAGCGCAUACGGUGGAUGCCUUGGCAGUCAGAGGCGAUGAAAGACGUGGUAGCCUGCGAAAAGCUUCGGGAGUCGGCAAACAGACUUUGAUCCGGAGAUGUCUGAAUGGGGGAACCCAGCCAUCACAAGAUGGUUAUCUUGUACUGAAUACAUAGGUGCAAGAGGCGAACCAGGGGAACUGAAACAUCUAAGUACCCUGAGGAAAAGAAAUCAACCGAGAUUCCCUUAGUAGUGGCGAGCGAACGGGGACUAGCCCUUAAGUGGCUUUGAGAUUAGCGGAACGCUCUGGAAAGUGCGGCCAUAGUGGGUGAUAGCCCUGUACGCGAAAAUCUCUUGGUCAUGAAAUCGAGUAGGACGGAGCACGAGAAACUUUGUCUGAAUAUGGGGGGACCAUCCUCCAAGGCUAAAUACUACUGACUGACCGAUAGUGAACUAGUACCGUGAGGGAAAGGCGAAAAGAACCCCGGAGAGGGGAGUGAAAUAGAUCCUGAAACCGUAUGCGUACAAGCAGUGGGAGCAGACUUUGUUCUGUGACUGCGUACCUUUUGUAUAAUGGGUCAGCGACUUAUUUUCAGUGGCGAGCUUAACCGAAUAGGGGAGGCGUAGCGAAAGCGAGUCUUAAUAGGGCGUCUAGUCGCUGGGAAUAGACCCGAAACCGGGCGAUCUAUCCAUGGGCAGGUUGAAGGUUAGGUAACACUGACUGGAGGACCGAACCGACUACCGUUGAAAAGUUAGCGGAUGACCUGUGGAUCGGAGUGAAAGGCUAAUCAAGCUCGGAGAUAGCUGGUUCUCCUCGAAAGCUAUUUAGGUAGCGCCUCAUGUAUCACUGUAGGGGUAGAGCACUGUUUCGGCUAGGGGUCAUCCCGACUUACCAAACCGAUGCAAACUCCGAAUACCUACAAGUGCCGAGCAUGGGAGACACACGGCGGGUGCUAACGUCCGUCGUGAAAAGGGAAACAACCCAGACCGUCAGCUAAGGUCCCAAAGUUAUGGUUAAGUGGGAAACGAUGUGGGAAGGCUUAGACAGCUAGGAGGUUGGCUUAGAAGCAGCCACCCUUUAAAGAAAGCGUAAUAGCUCACUAGUCGAGUCGGCCUGCGCGGAAGAUGUAACGGGGCUCAAACCAUACACCGAAGCUACGGGUAUCACGUAAGUGAUGCGGUAGAGGAGCGUUCUGUAAGCCUGUGAAGGUGAGUUGAGAAGCUUGCUGGAGGUAUCAGAAGUGCGAAUGCUGACAUGAGUAACGACAAUGGGUGUGAAAAACACCCACGCCGAAAGACCAAGGUUUCCUGCGCAACGUUAAUCGACGCAGGGUUAGUCGGUCCCUAAGGCGAGGCUGAAAAGCGUAGUCGAUGGAAAACAGGUUAAUAUUCCUGUACUUCUGGUUAUUGCGAUGGAGGGACGGAGAAGGCUAGGCCAGCUUGGCGUUGGUUGUCCAAGUUUAAGGUGGUAGGCUGAGAUCUUAGGUAAAUCCGGGAUCUUAAGGCCGAGAGCUGAUGACGAGUGUUCUUUUAGAACACGAAGUGGUUGAUGCCAUGCUUCCAAGAAAAGCUUCUAAGCUUCAGAUAACCAGGAACCGUACCCCAAACCGACACAGGUGGUUGGGUAGAGAAUACCAAGGCGCUUGAGAGAACUCGGGUGAAGGAACUAGGCAAAAUGGCACCGUAACUUCGGGAGAAGGUGCGCCGGUGAGGGUGAAGGACUUGCUCCGUAAGCUCAUGCCGGUCGAAGAUACCAGGCCGCUGCGACUGUUUAUUAAAAACACAGCACUCUGCAAACACGAAAGUGGACGUAUAGGGUGUGACGCCUGCCCGGUGCCGGAAGGUUAAUUGAUGGGGUUAGCUAACGCGAAGCUCUUGAUCGAAGCCCCGGUAAACGGCGGCCGUAACUAUAACGGUCCUAAGGUAGCGAAAUUCCUUGUCGGGUAAGUUCCGACCUGCACGAAUGGCGUAACGAUGGCGGCGCUGUCUCCACCCGAGACUCAGUGAAAUUGAAAUCGCUGUGAAGAUGCAGUGUAUCCGCGGCUAGACGGAAAGACCCCGUGAACCUUUACUAUAGCUUUGCACUGGACUUUGAAUUUGCUUGUGUAGGAUAGGUGGGAGGCUUUGAAGCGUGGACGCCAGUUCGCGUGGAGCCAUCCUUGAAAUACCACCCUGGCAACUUUGAGGUUCUAACUCAGGUCCGUUAUCCGGAUCGAGGACAGUGUAUGGUGGGUAGUUUGACUGGGGCGGUCUCCUCCUAAAGAGUAACGGAGGAGUACGAAGGUGCGCUCAGACCGGUCGGAAAUCGGUCGUAGAGUAUAAAGGCAAAAGCGCGCUUGACUGCGAGACAGACACGUCGAGCAGGUACGAAAGUAGGUCUUAGUGAUCCGGUGGUUCUGUAUGGAAGGGCCAUCGCUCAACGGAUAAAAGGUACUCCGGGGAUAACAGGCUGAUACCGCCCAAGAGUUCAUAUCGACGGCGGUGUUUGGCACCUCGAUGUCGGCUCAUCACAUCCUGGGCUGAAGCCGGUCCCAAGGGUAUGGCUGUUCGCCAUUUAAAGUGGUACGCGAGCUGGGUUUAGAACGUCGUGAGACAGUUCGGUCCCUAUCUGCCGUGGACGUUUGAGAUUUGAGAGGGGCUGCUCCUAGUACGAGAGGACCGGAGUGGACGAACCUCUGGUGUUCCGGUUGUCACGCCAGUGGCAUUGCCGGGUAGCUAUGUUCGGAAAAGAUAACCGCUGAAAGCAUCUAAGCGGGAAACUUGCCUCAAGAUGAGAUCUCACUGGAACCUUGAGUUCCCUGAAGGGCCGUCGAAGACUACGACGUUGAUAGGUUGGGUGUGUAAGCGCUGUGAGGCGUUGAGCUAACCAAUACUAAUUGCCCGUGAGGCUUGACCAUAUAACACCCAAGCAAUU
rnacentral:rRNA from 1 species